UACGGAGGGGGCUAGCGUUGUUCGGAAUUACUGGGCGUAAAGCGCACGUAGGCGGCUUUGCAAGUCGGGUGUGAAAUCCCCAGGCUUAACCUGGGAACUGCAUUCGAGACUGCAUUGCUAGAGUAUGGGAGAGGGAAGUGGAAUUUCCGGUGUAGCGGUGAAAUGCGUAGAUAUCGGAAGGAACAUCAGUGGCGAAAGCGACUUCCUGGACCAACACUGACGCUCAUGUGCGAAAGCGUGGGGAGCAAACAGG
rnacentral:rRNA from 1 species